ACUGGGUGGACCUCAGCUGGAAUAUCUCCAUCGCUAUCAUUCACUUCUUUGAUUUCUGACGUCUUGCUAGAGGAAAUCUUCAAGAGUGUGGAGGACAGAGCACAUCGGUGUAUGGCGGAGGACAUUAAUGUGUGUGCGUUUCAGAAGCUGGACAGUGGAGGCAAAAUGUAUCCAGAAGUGGAACAUCUGAUGUGGGUGCAGUGUGAGUCCUGUAAAGGAUGGUUGCACACAGAUUGUGCAGGCGUUGUGGCCCCUAAAGGCCAAUUUACAUGUGGCUGCAGGAGGAAACUGCCACUGAA